ACAUGGUAUUUGUUGGGUUAGGAAGGGAUAACUUUCCUUCUAAGAUUUAAAUAAUCAAACCAGCCUUGUUUUAAACUGAAAAAGGCUGGCAAAUAAUAAAAAAAAACGAGAAACAUAAUUAAGGUAGUAUCAUGACUGCCAUGUAAUGAUCAAAUUGGGUGGCUAAUAUGCCACCUCAAUCGAAGAUCCAAUCCACUUUGGUCCAUAUGUAGGUCUCGCUC
rnacentral:lncRNA from 1 species